GUCACUCAAAGCAUUCCAAACAGAACGAAAAGCACCAACAGGAAGCUCAAUUCUCUUUUGACUUGACACAACCUCUUGGCUGUCAAGCUCCAUCCAGAUCCCAGCAACCACCUGCUUGGAUCAGUCCUGGACAUGGACCUGCUGCUGGCCUUAGGCUACUUUCUGGAAUCUUCCAAAAGUCACAGGGGAGCAAAUUCAACUCAGAUAAUACCUCUGUUAUGAAGCUUUCGGUGGUACCUCCUUAAG